rnacentral:misc_RNA from 1 species
UGGAGGCCCUGCUCCAUUUGGC